rfam:Homo sapiens chromosome 1, GRCh38 reference primary assembly.
GCCUGGCAUUGUGGUGCAUGCCUGUAAUCCCAGCUACUCAGGAGGCUGAGGCAGGAGAAUUGCUUGAGCCUGGGAAGUUGAGGCUGCAGCGAGCUGAGAUCAUGCCACUGCACUCCUGCUUGGGCAACAGAGCAAGACCCUGUCUCCA